UUCAGUUCGUAAUUUAAAUGUAAAUGGUGUUUUCUUUCAGGUCAGAAACUUGUGCUACAUGGUCACACGCAGAGAGAAGAUCAAACACUCUUUAUGCGACCUGCAGGAGAAGAUCUUUACCUUGCAGAUUCAGCUCUUAGAGAAGAACCUGAUUGGAGACAAAACUCGGAGAGGGGAGACGAUUCAUCGCAAUGGAGUCAGGGAACGAGUGAAAGAAAGGAGGAAGAGUAGUCCAGAAAAGAAAGACAAAUGGAGAUCAGAUGACAACUCUCUAUUCACACAGCUGGAUUUAAGAACAUUGCAGCCAGGCACUGUCUUCGUCCUCAUCUUACGCACCUGAUUCAACUCGUCAGUUUAUUAGUAGAGACUUUAAGAUCUGAAGUGGGUCAGAAAAGAUAAAG
ensembl:lncRNA